GUUUCUCUGUGUAGCCCUGGCUGUCCUGGAACUCACUUUGUACUGCAGGGUGGCCUCAAACUCAGAAAUCUGCCUGUCUCUGCUUCCCGAGAAAUGGGAUUAAAGAUAUGCGCCAUCAGGCCUGGCAGUAAGUUAAUUUUAAGAAAUUUUAUUAUUUAUUUUUUUUAUCGUGUCAGAGAAUGACCCGUGUCAGUUCUCCAUCUCCUCUACAUGGACUGCGGUGUUCGCAGGUCCAGGCUUGGAGGCAAGCACUCCUACCAACUGAACUUACAUGGUGGCUCACGACUAUCUGAAACUCCAGCCCCAGGGGUUCUGACGCUCUCUUCUGACCUCUUGUCGCUUUCUGACGUGGCGAAGCUCUAGGUUCUGCCUGUCUCUUCCUCUACAAUGCUGGGACUUCAGAUACUUAUUACAUGUGUUCUGGGGAUCUGAACCCAAGCCCUUAUGCUUUGGUGGCAAAUACUUGGCUGAUGUAGCCAUCUCCUAGCCUUUGGAUGCAAAGUAUCUUCCGUAUUAUCAGUAAGUCAACGAUCUCAGGGAUAAUAAGGACAGUCUCACAUCUAUCCAUCUAAGGUCUCUGGAGCCUUAGGACUAUAUUGUUAAGUCUGUUAGAUACUUUUCCACCUGUCUUCAAGGAACGUUCCCAAGGCAGAGAAUGGGGACUGUUUUAGCAUUCUAGAACUCAGACUGCUUCUUUUGAUUACCUUUCACCACUGGCAUUGAUCCCUUAGACUCAGUGAGAACCUGGGAAUCAUCUUCCAUCUAUCCCCCUCUGCCUCCUGACCGCCUGGCUUGCAGAUUGGACCUCCUCAGAACCACUUGAGUUAACAUGAUCUUACCCACUUUUGUUACAAUCUCCCUGUCCCAGACCAUCAUGAGGUCACUGCACCAGCCUAUGUGAGCCCUCUGCCUAGUCUUGACUGCUCUGAUCUAACACACAAACUCUCUAAAUAUAGUUCUGACCAUGCCACUGCCUCUUCAAAUGCUUUAAUCCCACCCCCCCAUCCCAAGUCUAAACCCCUUAGGAUGGCCUCGAGGGGCUUCAUGAUCUUGCUUGUGACCCCUCUUCCCAGCUCCACUUUCCCCAGUCUUUAAACCUAGCUGUGCAAACUUUGGCCACUUUGUCAGAGAAGCUAAGCCCUCUCUUGCCUUUGCCUGGCUCCUCUUUUGUCCCGAAUGCACCCCUUUCCUUUCUACAUUCUUUACAAUGUUGCAGAGUUAUGAGUUCUUCAGGGAAGAACUUGCCCAACCCCAGCCCCACUCCAUAAGCCCAGGAAUUAAAUGUCCAUCCCAAAAGAGCAUUGUAUAAUUGCGCUUAGCAGUUUAUCAUGAGCUUUUACAUCAUGAUUUAGUUUCUGCAAAAACACUAGACGUAUAUCCAUUUCAUAGAUAGGGAUCGUGGACAUUAACCUAUAAGAUUAGUCAGCUGAAUGCCAAACAGGAGAAGCAUGGUACCUUUAUACCUAUUGGAACUAAAUCAGAAAGCAGACGGUGCCUGCUCCAGACAGUGACCUAGUGCUACAAGCCCAGAAACCAUUGCUCUGCAUUUCACAUCAUCCUACACCUUCACUCUGAUCUGGCCUGGCAGGAAGCCACCCUCUGUAGUUCAGCGUUUCAGGUUGAGGGGAUGUAUCUUUAAACGCUGAAAAUGUCAUUUUCCCUGACAUUUAUGAAAGAGCUUCCAGACAUGAAAGACAAUUAGCCAAUGGCUUUGUUGAUUAAUUCAUCACUUAAUUAAUGUGGAAAGGACACUUUGAAAUAGUCAGAUGAAAGGCUUGGAUAAGGGCAAUCAGAACAGACCACUUCCCUGAUGGUCCAGGCCCUGGUGGUGUGGGCUGUUCAGAAUAGAAACCCUGAUCGAGUCGGCAGCAAGAGAUUUCAUGGAGAGCGAAAAAUAGAGCUCAUACCUGUGCCUUGGGUCCGUGGUGCAGCAGAAAGGGUGGUGGUUGAUGAUCAAUAACAAGUGGAACCGUGGUGUGCAGCCUCUAGCACUCAGCAGGACGGUCGCAGUCCUGGGUUUCUGGAAUGAGCAGGUUUUGGAAACUCUUGACUUGCUGUUGGAUCUCCACAGAGGAUGACAGCCUUAACCAUGGAAAGCGAGGUAACCAUGUGACCAAAGCUCUCUGGCACCAAAUAGCAUUUCCUGCAAACUCACUCCUAAUACUGGUAAUAAACUACGGAGAUUCUUUUAAGGAAGUCAACAACACUCCACUAACAUCACCAUAACAGACAAAUCACUGGAGGUUGAUUGUAAGCAAAGGUCAGAAUUCAUUUGCCACAGUCCCAGAGGCUGGAAGUCCAGGAUCAAGGCCUUGCUGGAUGUGGUGCUUGACAAGGCUUCCAAGAUCAAACCUUGAAUGCCCCAUCCUCUGGAGGACAGGGGACAGGAGAGCAAAAGGCAACCAAGGUAGAGGAAUCUCAGCUUCUCUCUGGGCCUCUUAUAAGGACUCUGUCCAUGACUUCAUCAGCCCGUACAGCGCUCCCUCCAACACUGUCCAGCUGACCACUGUAUGUUGCUUAGAAACUCUAGGAGUACACACAGACCCCAACAAGGCUUUGGAUCCAUGACUCCACCGGAUGGAUUCGUUCACUUGCUGUCUGUUGACUUUAUCUCAGCGAAGUUUUGGCAUUCUGAAUAUAGGUCUGUACAUGUGAAAUUUACCCCUAAAUUCUGCAUAUUUUAACCCUAUUAUAAACUAGCCCUGUUUUAGAUUUUUAUUGUUAGCUAUUAAGGAUGGUUUUUAUUGACUUUAUUCUGAAAUCACUGACUAACCUCAUUUAUUAAUUCAUGAAAAUUCUCUGUCAAUUAUGAUUUUCUGCACCUGUGAAUAAGAAGAUACUGUCACCUAAUUCUUUGCAAAUUUAUAUGUAUUAGUGUUUUGAGUGCAUGCCUGUCUAUGAACCACAUGCAUGGGUAGUGCCCACAGAGACCAAAAGAAAGUGUUAGAUUCUUUGGAACU
ensembl:lncRNA